rnacentral:rRNA from 1 species
UAGGGAAUCUUCCACAAUGGACGAAAGUCUGAUGGAGCAACGCCGCGUGAGUGAAGAAGGGUUUCGGCUCGUAAAACUCUGUUGUUAAAGAAGAACGUGGGUAAGAGUAACUGUUUACCCAGUGACGGUAUUUAACCAGAAAGCCACGGCUAACUACGUGCCAC